UACGUAGGUGGCAAGCGUUGUCCGGAUUUACUGGGCGUAAAGGGCGCGCAGGCGGUACGGCACGUCCGUUGUGAAAUCGCUCGGCUCAACUGGGCGGGGUCAGCGGAUACGGCCGCACUUGAGCAAGCUAGGGGGCAAUGGAAUUCCCGGUGUAGUGGUGGAAUGCGUAGAUAUCGGGAAGAACAUCGGUGGCGAAAGCGCUCUACUGGACCGCAACUGACACUCAGGGACGAAAGCUAGGGGAGCGAAUGGG
rnacentral:rRNA from 1 species